rnacentral:ncRNA from 1 species
GCGUGUAAAAGCCAAACCCGUUGUGAGGCGGGGACGGAAAGCUUCAGGUCUUAUGUCUGGGAUAGACUUCAAGAUGGCUGGGUUGUCACC